UACGUAGGGGGCUAGCGUUAUCCGGAAUUACUGGGCGUAAAGGGUGCGUAGGCGGUCUUUCAAGCCAGAAGUGAAAGGCUACGGCUCAACCGUAGUGAGCUUUUGGAACUGUAAGACUUGAGUGCAGGAGAGGAGAGUGGAAUUCCUAGUGUAGCGGUGAAAUGCGUAGAUAUUAGGAGGAACACCAGUAGCGAAGGCGGCUCUCUGGACUGUAACUGACGCUGAGGCACGAAAGCGUGGGGAGCGAACAGGAUUAGAUACCCCUGUAGUCCCU
rnacentral:rRNA from 1 species